rnacentral:rRNA from 1 species
GACGAACGCUGGCGGCGUGCCUAAUACAUGCAAGUUGAGCGCUGAAGGUUGGUACUUGUACCAACUGGAUGAGCAGCGAACGGGUGAGUAACGCGUGGGGAAUCUGCCUUUGAGCGGGGGACAACAUUUGGAAACGAAUGCUAAUACCGCAUAAAAACUUUAAACACAAGUUUUAAGUUUGAAAGAUGCAAUUGCAUCACUCAAAGAUGAUCCCGCGUUGUAUUAGCUAGUUGGUGAGGUAAAGGCUCACCAAGGCGAUGAUACAUAGCCGACCUGAGAGGGUGAUCGGCCACAUUGGGACUGGGGCACGGCCCAAACUCCUACGGGAGGCAGCAGUAGGGAAUCUUCGGCAAUGGACGAAAGUCUGACCGAGCAACGCCGCGUGAGUGAAGAAGGUUUUCGGAUCGUAAAACUCUGUUGGUAGAGAAGAACGUUGGUGAGAGUGGAAAGCUCAUCAAGUGACGGUAACUACCCAGAAAGGGACGGCUAACUACGUG